AAAAAAUAAAGCAGUAUUUCUUUUCUUUUUUUUUUUUUAAUUCUUCAGCUAAAACAGCGGAAGAGGUGAUUUAUUAUAUGGUUGUUACACUCGGCCACAAAUAAACACAGAAAUAGUCCAGAAUGUCACAGGUCCAGGGCAGAGGACCAACAUGGGCAUUUUGUUUAUGAGCAAGGUGGGUCUCAGAGGUGAUCGUAGCAUGCAGUCCCACAACUUGUACCAGCAUCCCCAGCGUCUGGCAUUCCAUGUUUCUGCUCCUGUGGCCUCCACGGUGCAACAAGCUAGCGGUUUACUUGGACCUCUGCCUCAUCUUUCUUCUUUUGCGCUUCAGCCUGCGCAUUCGCUUCUUCCUCCACUUGGCUCUCAUGGCACAGAGGUUUCCAAAAAAAUGGCGCUAAGGCCGAGAGCAUAAAGCAGUAUUUCAAAAGAGGUAAUUAGACUGAUGAUGAGGGGAUAACACAUGGAAGAGAAACAUUUCAAAAGCUUCUCCGCUUUUCCAAAAGAGGAAGGAGUUUGUUGAAAUUUUCUAAACUCAGAUUUGGUGAAAAAUUACUUUGAAAAGAUAUAUUUGAAACUUCUUUCCUCUGGGUCCCAAUGGGAAAAUAUCCCUACAGGUUUCCCUCCUUCCAAACAGCACUGCAGGGCAUUAUAUAACUAAACAGGAUUCCAGCUCCUAAAAUGAUGCCUCCAUCCUGAUAACUAGCUGGCUCUCUCGCCCUCCGGUGGUUACUGGGAGAGGAAGAGAAGAGAGAACACAAAAAAAGGGCAACCUCCUUAAAAGGAAAGCACUGUCCAGUGAUGAAAUUUCCACAGAGCAUAGAAACCUGGAGUGAAACUGAUCUUAAGUCUGAGACUAAAGGAUUUGAAUGUCCUACAGUGUAAAUGAUUUCUCAUUGAUAAAUCAGAGCCUCAUCAUUUCCUCUUAACCUAUACAUAAA
rnacentral:lncRNA from 10 species